rnacentral:rRNA from 1 species
GAUGAACGCUGGCGGCGUGCCUAAUACAUGCAAGUCGAGCGAACGGACGAGAAGCUUGCUUCUCUGAUGUUAGCGGCGGACGGGUGAGUAACACGUGGAUAACCUACCUAUAAGACUGGGAUAACUUCGGGAAACCGGAGCUAAUACCGGAUAAUAUUUUGAACCGCAUGGUUCAAAAGUGAAAGACGGUCUUGCUGUCACUUAUAGAUGGAUCCGCGCUGCAUUAGCUAGUUGGUAAGGUAACGGCUUACCAAGGCAACGAUGCAUAGCCGACCUGAGAGGGUGAUCGGCCACACUGGAACUGAGACUCGGUCCAGACUCCUACGGUAGGCAGCAGUAGGGAAUCUUCCGCAAUGGUCGAGAGCCUGACGGAGCAACGCCGCGUGAGUGAUGAAGGUCUUCGGAUCGUAAAACUCUGUUAUUAGGGAAGAACAUAUGUGUAAGUAACUGUGCACAUCUUGACGGUACCUAAUCAGAAAGCCACGGCUAACUACGUG